UUUACCUUCCAACCAAAAACAAUU
rnacentral:snRNA from 1 species